GAUGAACGCUGGCGGCGUGCCUAAUACAUGCAAGUCGAGCGAACGGACGAGAAGCUUGCUUUUCUGAUGUUAGCGGCGGACGGGUGAGUAACACGUGGAUAACCUACCUAUAAGACUGGGAUAACUUCGGGAAACCGGAGCUAAUACCGGAUAAUAUUUUGAACCGCAUGGUUCAAAAGUGAAAGACGGUCUUGCUGUCACUUCUAGAUGGAUCCGCGCUGCAUUAGCUAGUUGGUAAGGUAACGGCUUACCAAGGCAACGAUGCAUAGCCGACCUGAGAGGGUGACCGGCCACACUGGAACUGAGACACGGUCCAGACUCCUACGGGAGGCAGCAGUAGGGAAUCUUCCGCAAUGGGCGAAAUCCUGACGGAGCAACGCCGCGUGAGUGAUGAAGGUCUUCGGGUCGUAAAACUCUGUUAUUAGGGAAGAACAUAUGUGUAAGUAACUGUGCACAUCUUGACGUUACCUAAUCAGAAAGCCACGGCUAAGUACGUG
rnacentral:rRNA from 1 species